rnacentral:rRNA from 1 species
AGAGUUUGAUCAUGGCUCAGGAUGAACGCUAGCUACAGGCUUAACACAUGCAAGUCGCGGGGUAACAUCUGGUAGAGCUUGCUCUUCCAGGAUGACGACCGGCGCACGGGUGAGUAACGCGUAUCCAACCUGGCCCAUACCACGGGAUAGCCCGUCGAAAGGCGGAUUAAUACCGUAUGCUGUCAUUAAGAUGCAUAUAUUGAUGACGAAAGGACUGGCGGUAUGGGAUGGGGAUGCGUCUGAUUAGCUUGUUGGCGGGGUAACGGCCCACCAAGGCGACGAUCAGUAGGGGUUCUGAGAGGAAGGUCCCCCACAUUGGAACUGAGACACGGUCCAAACUCCUACGGGAGGCAGCAGUGAGGAAUAUUGGUCAAUGGGCGCAAGCCUGAACCAGCCAAGUAGCGUGAGGGAAGACUGCCCUACGGGUUGUAAACCUCUUUUGUUUGGGAAUAAAGUGCGGGACGUGUCCCGCAUUGCAUGUACCAUUUGAAUAAGGACCGGCUAAUUCCGUGCCAGCAGCCGCGGUAAUACGGAAGGUCCGGGCGUUAUCCGGAUUUAUUGGGUUUAAAGGGAGCGCAGGCCGUGGGUUAAGCGUGUCGUGAAAUUCCGUCGCUCAACGGCGGACGUGCGGCGCGAACUGGUCCACUUGAGUACGCGGGACGUUGGCGGAAUUCGUGGUGUAGCGGUGAAAUGCUUAGAUAUCACGAAGAACUCCGAUUGCGAAGGCAGCUGACGGUAGCGCAACUGACGCUGAGGCUCGAAAGUGCGGGUAUCGAACAGGAUUAGAUACCCUGGUAGUCCGCACGGUAAACGAUGGAUGCCCGCUAUUCGCCCACCUGGGCGAGUGGCC